rnacentral:rRNA from 1 species
UACGUAGGGUGCGAGCGUUAAUCGGAAUUACUGGGCGUAAAGCGUGCGCAGGCGGUUUUGUAAGCCAGAUGUGAAAGCCCCGGGCUCAACCUGGGAAUGGCAUUUGGGACUGCAAGGCUUGAGUGCGGCAGAGGAGACUGGAAUUCCUGGUGUAGCAGUGAAAUGCGUAGAUAUCAGGAAGAACACCCGUGGCGAAGGCGGUUCUCUGGGACGGUACUGACGCUGAGACGCGAAAGCGUGGGGAGCGAACAGG